UCGUAGAGUUAGGGGUGGGGUAACUGGUGGUAGGAGACCUGUGUAGUGGCUUGUACCAGAGCUCGUAAGGUGGGGUACAGGUCACCAUUCCCCAACGUGCUGUUCAGUCUGGGGAUCCAUACGCCCGGAAACUGCAACGUUCAGGCCAGGCAGGUACCAAACAAGCACCUCUGAAAGCACCGGGGAAGCAAGACAGAAGCAAAGAGGGCAAGAAAGAAGAUCCCCAGAUUCUUUUGCUUCAGGUGGAGGCGCUGCAGGCCCAGCUGGAAGAGCAGACACGACUAUCCAAAGAGCAGAUAGAGACUCUGUUAGAGGACAGGAAGGUCCGCGUGGAAGAAACCCAGGUGCAGCACCAAAGAGACCAGGACAAAAUGAAAUCUAUGACAGAUAAGCUGAAUAAGACCCAGAAAUUGCUGUACGAGAGCACCAGGGAUUUCCUGCAACUGAAAUAAUUUGAGUGCCGAGCCAAUGAGAAAUCUUGGAUGGCCGAGAAAGAUCGGCUGCUCCGAGAGCUAGACCGGUGCCGAGAGCAGUUGGCUUUAAGUAGUGACACAGAGCAAGAGCGGGAACACGAGCGAGAGAUCCUGCGUUUGUCAUUGGUCGAGAAAGCAAGUCGGCACUCGCACAGUGAGGAAGUGAAGGGUAAUUCCCAUUCUCUUACAGAGCAGCUGGCACAAGCACAUCGCCUCGCUGAAAUGUACCGGGAGCAGUGUGUGACACUGGAGGAUGAGCUGGGAAAGAUACGAGAGGAGGGAGACGUGGGCAGGGAAAUCUUCAAGGAACGUUCAGAUAAGGUGGCCAAGCGGCUGCAAUUGAUGGCGCAGAGAUACGAGGCUCUGGAGAAAAGGCGCAACAUGGAGGUAGAGGGCUAUAAGACUGACAUCAAGCUGCUGAGACAGCGGUUAAAGGAUGUAGAGAAGCAACUAUUCAAGGUGACGCUGAACAUCGGGCCAGACCAAGAUCUUGCUAUUCUGGAUGCAGUGCGGCAGGGCAACAAAAAGACACAAAAAAUUCAAGGGGAACUGCGCAACUUAAAGGCCAAAAUCUGUGGCCUGGGGAAUGAACUGAGAAUCGGAUAGAGCACAAGGGAGACUGACGGAGCUGCCACACUAAACAAGGAGCCACAGUGCCUCGUUCCUAAGGAGAGAUUGUUCAGUGUUAUCCAUGGAGUAGGUGUUGGGCGAUAUUCCUCUGCACCCCCCUUUCACCCCGGAGCUCGGCAAUGAAAGGGUGCGUGAGGAGCUGCCUUGCAGAUGGUCUCCUGCCUGGGUCUCUCUGCAGGCACUCGCUGAUGAAGAAGCGGAACUCGUCACUCCUGGAAAAAAAAACGGUGGUAAAAUGAUAAUUGUUUGUGUUACAUUUCCCAGAGUUCACAGUGUGACGACUCCCUGAUCCUGCCGCUCUGUACCCAACCCAAUCACAGCACAGGCAGCAAUAGGGGGUGAGCCCCUUCCCUUCUAAGGGUUCCACUGCUCUGCCUGAAAUGGGGGGCUAUUGCACUUACUUAUGAACCCUGAAUUAUAAGGGUACAUUUACCUGUGACCAAAUUACUGUCUCUCUGGUUUUGCCUAUAUCUUAGCCCGGCUUGUAUUGGCUGCCAGAUACCGGCCCCAAGAGCUCAAGCUCAGCACGAGAGUCUGCGUUUGCGCAUAGAGCUACACAUAUUACGCAUCACCUUCACCCUUAUUUCAGCCCGGACUGGGAUACAAAAUAGGCCCUGGCAUUUCAUAUCCACAGAGGCCAAAACAGCCCCCCAGCCCAAUAAAUAGCCACUGCCUAUGGCAUCUCACAGCAUUUACCUGCCCUCACUUAUUUCCCAUUUAUCCCUUCCCCAUCCUUACUUUAUGUCAUAUCCCAAUGUCCCCCUCACCAUAAAGUCUACCUUGCCCAUUUCUCCACCUUUCCUGACUCAUUCACACACCUUCUUACACGCUUUCCAUUUCCCCACCCUCCCCAC